rnacentral:ribozyme from 1 species
UAGAAAUGCAGCACUGGUACGGGUACGGAUCCGACGCCUCUCGUAGGAUACUUAGGCUCUCCGUACCCUACUCCUACUCAAAACGUCCCCGACGUACAGAACGGUAACAUGUCUUUCCGCAUAUCUGAGNNNN